UUAUCAUUUAGAGGAAGGAGAAGUCGUAACAAGGUUUCCGUAGGUGAACCUGCGGAAGGAUCAUUGUCGAAACCUGCAAAGCAGACCGCGAACACGUGUUUAACAUCACGGGGCCACGGCGCGGGGGCGAGCCCCCCGCCGCGGCACCCAUCCCCGCCGGCGCUCGCGCGAGCGUCGCGUCGUGCGGGCUAACGAACCCCGGGCGCGGAACGCGCCAAGGAAAACUCAACGAAGCGUCCCCCACCCGGUGCCCCGUCCGCGGGGCGCGCGGGGGGAAAGGGACGUCUCUCGAAUGUCAAAACGACUCUCGGCAACGGAUAUCUCGGCUCUCGCAUCGAUGAAGAACGUAGCGAAAUGCGAUACUUGGUGUGAAUUGCAGAAUCCCGUGAACCAUCGAGUCUUUGAACGCAAGUUGCGCCCGAGGCCAUUAGGCCGAGGGCACGUCUGCCUGGGCGUCACGCAUCGCGUCGCCCCCCUCCCGCGCUCGGCGCUGGCCAGGGGGGCGGAGAUUGGCCUCCCGUGCGCGUCCGCGUGCGGCCGGCCUAAAUGCCAUCCCCCGGCGACGCACGUCACGACCAGUGGUGGUUGAACGAUCAACUCUCGUGCUGUCGUGCGACAAAGGCGUUGCCCGUUCGGGAGCCAAAUGCGACCCAACGGCGCUUGCUUGCAAAGCGCCUCCGACCGCGACCCCAGGUCAGGCGGGACUACCCGCUGAGUUUAA
rnacentral:misc_RNA from 1 species